CCAUAUUUAUAGUUUUAAAAAUUUAUUUUCUUAUAAUUGUGUUUCUAUAUGAUACUAUAUAUAAAUUUACAUACAGAAUAUAAUUAAAACUCAAUUAAAGUAUAUUAGAUUUUCAAUUAAUACGUGCAUUAGUCAUACCGCUAUAUAUAGGUAUUGCUUGCUUUUGAAGCUCAGACAGAGAUAAAGAGCUCAAGAGGGAGAAAACAAAAAGUUCAAAACUAUAACGCGAGAAGUUUUGUGUGUCUCCCUCGUUUGCUUUACAACGACGACGAUACAAAACUUUGUUUGUUUUGAAUGGGACAGGAACCGACGUAGCAGGAACCAUUUGCCUCACGUACCAAUGGUUUCACUUUCUCUUUUCUCCGAUUUCAUCAAUCUCAAGGUUAAACAGAGUUCGCUUACUGAGUAUCGGACUGUCAAACCAAAAGGCAUCUGAAUCUGAAAGAUGACUUCACGAGUUUUAUUACUGAUAAAGGAACAUCACAUAAAAACAGAUGCAGAGAAAGAGAGUUACUCAACGAGAUUCAUAUAAGUCUGAAAAAGCAUAUAACAUAAAUCAGCGAGCCCAACAUUCUUCCAUUACCUUAUGAUUAGGGCUACAAUACUGCCGUGAGGAUCAAGGGAAGAAUUACCCUGGCCAGGUCAGUGCGGGGGGAUAAGUAGCUCCAUCAGAGUUGGCGGUUGAAGAUGAAGCAGAAGUUUGGGUCAACCUCUCCUUUAUUUUCUUGGUUAGCUUCCCCUUAAGAUCCUCCAUUGCCACCGGCUGAAUCAGUAGCUCAUUAUAGCUGAGUUCAUUAGAUGGAAUACUCAACCAGUUGCAGCACCUGGGGUUUCUUUCACAAUCUGCUGGAGUUUCUCCCCUCGCUUCUUUUCAGCAUCCAGUUGAGAAACCAGAUCAGAAUACUUCUUGUGCAGCUCACAAAGAACUCUCUCAUGGUGUGCCUUCACUUUCCAAAUUGUAGAAGCAGCAUCAGGGUGGCCUAGCCUGUUCAUGACUACAUCAGCAGAGGGGUUACUGAAACCAGGGGAGAGGAUAACAAGGGCUGUCUCAACAACACACAUGCUACAAAGUUCGCUGGCCUUCUUGAAGAGACCAGAUUGUUGUUUUAGAAUGAUACUUGCCGAGCAUCUUUUCCUUGAAUUAUCUUUGCUGGAGUCUUUUUGCACUGCAUGCUAUCUUCUUUUAGUUUGCAUAACUAUUUGAAGAGUAGUGAGAAGCUCAAGAAAUUCUUAGGAGACACACCGGGUUUUAUAGGAUUGAUAGGGGGAUACUUGUAAUCUUUGAGUGUAAGAUUCUCCAUUAAACUUGAAACUCUUGGCAUUGUCUUAAAUAGGCGAGUUCUUCUGUCCCCCACCAAAUGUGUCCAAAUCCAUCAUCAUGAUGAUUGUAAGGGUACAAGUAUAACAUAAUAAAAAAACAAUUUUUGUCCUCUUGCUGCUCUUCAAAUAGUUUUGUCGAGUGCAAGAAGAGAGCAAUGGGCACAAAACGACUCAAGAAAAGAUGAUUCAAGGAGAUGAUGCUCUGCCAUUUUUGUUCUCAAAAUGAUGAUCUGGCCUCUUUAAGAAGGCCAACUAAUUUUGUACCUUGUGUGCUGUUGAGACUGCCCUUGUCAUCUUCUUCCCUGAUGGCAAGGCCUUCUUUGGUCACCCCUCUGUUGAUUUAGUAAUGAAAAGGCUUGGCCACUUAGAUGCCUCUACAAUUCAGGAAACUAAGGCUCGCCAGGAUAGAGUUCUUUGUGACUUGAACAAGAAGUAUUCUGAUUUGGUUGCUCAAUUGGAUGCUGAAAAGAAGCAAGGGGAGAAACUCAAGCAGAUUAUGAAGGAAAUAUAGGGGUGCUGCAACUAGUUCAGAAGUCCAUCUAAUGAACUCAACUAUAAAGAGCUGCUCAUUAUUCAGCAGGUGGCAAUGGAGGAUCUUAAGGGGAAACUAACCAAGGAAAAAGAGGAGAGGUUGGCUGAGACUUAUGCUUCAUCUGCAGCCAUCAACUCUGUUGGAGAUACUAAUCCCCCAGGUGCUCACUUGGGGAUAGUUCUUUUGAUCCCCAUGGCAGUAUUGUAGGCUGUUAUGAAUUGUAUGAUGGAAGAGAGUUUGGCUUGGCUGUUUUAUGUUAUAGGCUUUUCAGAUUUAUUAAUAUCGUCAAGUCACUCUCUUUCUCUUCAUCUGUUUUAUGUGAUGUUCCUUUUCCAAUAAUAAUACUCAUGAUGAAGUAAUUUUUUUUAGAAGCUUUUCUGUAACUGUCAGAUACUCAGUAUCGUUACUCUCUUUUAACCUUGGUGAUGGCUGAAGAAUAUCUCAUUAAAA